GUUUCCAUAGUGUAGUGGUUAUAAUGUUCACCUAACACGCAAAAGGUCCCUGGUUCGAAACUGGGUGGAAACA